rnacentral:rRNA from 1 species
GAUGAACGCUAGCUACAGGCUUAACACAUGCAAGUCGAGGGGCAGCGGUAUCGAAAGCUUGCUUUCGGUAGCCGGCGACCGGCGCACGGGUGAGUAACGCGUAUCGAACCUGCCUCAUACUCGGGAAUAGCCUUGCGAAAGUAAGAUUAAUGCCCGGUGUUUUCAGAGUCCCGCAUGAGGCUUUGAACAAAGAUUUAUCGGUAUGAGAUGGCGAUGCGUCCCACUAGCUUGUUGGCGGGGUAACGGCCCACCAAGGCAUCGAUGGGUAGGGGUUCUGAGAGGAAGGUCCCCCACAUUGGAACUGAGACACGGUCCAAACUCCUACGGGAGGCAGCAGUGAGGAAUAUUGGUCAAUGGGCGGAAGCCUGAACCAGCCAAGUAGCGUGCAGGAAGACGGCCCUCCGGGUUGUAAACUGCUUUUAGUUGGGAAUAAAACGGGGCUCGUGAGCCCCCUUGCAUGUACCAUCAGAAAAAGGACCGGCUAAUUCCGUG